GAGAGACUGAUAGUUAGAUACUUCAGAUUUUGCAAUAAUGACGCAACUAUGAACAUGCCUUAUCAUGUGGGAGGCAGAACAGAAGCAACAGUUGUAGACUCUAACAUGGGGACAGACUUCUGUGUCUCCCAGCUUCCCCAUUCUUUUCCCUUCAAGAGGGACAAACCCUGAGCUGCAGCAAAUGAGGAAAAUCCAUCCCACACCCAUUCAGUCUGUGCAAGGGUUUUGUGCCUGCCUAUCCCACUUGAGGAGACCGAUUGGUAACACUUUGUGAGAGUGGAAACAAAAUCAAAGGAAUUCACCAGUUAUUUUCCAUAACUUGUCCUGCAUUAAAAUGACUGUUGACCUGGUAGCCCUAGCACCAAUGAACAAACACAGGCCUGUGCCUGUUGGAGGAAUCCAACUUUGGUUGCCAAGCAUAUUCUACCCUGGCAUGCUGCUUCUGAUGGUGUGCUGCUGUCUACGCCCUUUUC